GCGUAUUAACAUAAGUAUACAUUUGUCCACGAUAAUUAUUACUUUUAUUCAUGAGAAUGUAUAUGUUUAGUUAUUUUCUCAAAUAAUUAUUAUUGUAAAAAAAAUUUAUUUAUAUGAAAAAAAAUAAUGAUAUUUUUAUUCGUGAGAACUUGUAUUUUUAAUAGAAAAAGAAAGGAAAAAAAAGAAGCUAAAAGUUAAAAGCAUAAAAAACGCAUAAGAAAAAGAAAUAAAAAAAAGCUAAAAAGUAAAAUAAAAAUAAAAAUAAAAACGCAGAAAAAGAAAACAAAAAGAAAAGGUAAAAUAAAAUGUGAGAAGUGGGUUUCGAACACUACAUCUUGUGGUUAAAAAGGAGAAGACUUAACCACUGCACCAACAUCUAAUUUUAAGAAUAUUUACUAAGUUAUUAUAUUUAGCUGCUUCUCGCGGCCGCCCAUGCCCAACCCACGCCUGGCCCGCUGCCCGCGCACUGACCCGACCCGACCCG
rnacentral:lncRNA from 1 species